AAAGGUAAGCUACUAAGAGCGAAUGGUGGAUGCCUUGACUGGUAAAGGCGAUGAAGGACGUACUAGACUGCGAUAAGCUACGGGGAGCUGUCAAGAAGCUUUGAUCCGUAGAUUUCCGAAUGGGGCAACCCAAUGUAUAGAGAUAUACAUUACCUAUAUAGGAGCGAACGAGGGGAAUUGAAACAUCUUAGUACCCUCAGGAAAAGAAAUCAAUAGAGAUUGCGUCAGUAGCGGCGAGCGAAAGCGCAAGAGGGCAAACCCAGUGCUUGCACUGGGGGUUGUAGGACUGCAAUGUGCAAGAGCUGAGUUUAGCAGAACAUUCUGGAAAGUAUAGCCAUAGAGGGUGAUAGUCCCGUAUGCGAAAAACAAAGCUUAGCUAGCAGUAUCCUGAGUAGGGCGGGACACGAGGAAUCCUGUCUGAAUCCGGGUCGACCACGAUCCAACCCUAAAUACUAAUACCAGAUCGAUAGUGCACAAGUACCGUGAGGGAAAGGU
rnacentral:rRNA from 1 species